CUAAAGUGGUGCCCACUCAGCCUUAUUAUUUGGCUUUUGUCCACUUUCCUUCCUACUAGGUGUGGUAGGCAAAGUAAUGGCUCUCAAAGUAUGCAUAUUCAAAUCCUUAGAUGGAUAAAGAUGCUAUAUAGCAAAGGGGGGAUUAAGUUCACAGAUGGAGUUAAUCACUGCCCUUGGGCUAGGGAGAGCAGCCUAAUCCAGGUGAGCCCAGUGUGAUCACAGUCCUUGUAAGUGGGAAUCAGACUCAAGGUUGAAGAUGCUAUGCUUCUGGGUUUGAAGAUGGAGGAAGGCGCCAGGAGCCCAGAAGUUCAGACAGCCUCUAGACACCUUCCCAGAGCCUCCAGAAGGAAGGUCACCCUUUCACACUUCGAUUUUCACCUCAUGAGACCAACUUCAGGCUUCUGAUCUACAUAAUGAGAAGAGAAGAGAAAGGAUCCUUGAAGGAGGGAAGUGGAAGCAGGUGAUCAAUUAAGAAGCUACUGCAGCCAUCAAGACAACAGAUGAGGACACUAAGGCCACGUGACUUUAGUUUGUGGUUGCACCGCUCUUUGAACCAGGCCCGUUCAACUCUGCAUAACACCAAGAUUUAGAGGAAAGCGGGGACCCUCGAGACUGCAAGACACAGAAACUGCCUCCAAACUGGCUCUCACACCUCAUCAGUCUGCCCCUGUUACUUCAGUAUGAGUUGUUCAUGGAGGAUGAGGAAUUCUUCCAAGGCAGGCCAGCAGUGUGUGCAAGAGCUCUGGAAUCUCUUUUUCGUUACUAACCACGGAGAACUUGGGCAAGUUCCUUCACGUUGUGGGCCUCAGUGUUCUUUCUUGUGACACGAGGAUAAUAAUAACGCCUGCCUCUGAGGAUUACUGUGAAGAUUAAAUGAGGUUUCAUCGCCUACUACAGCUUUAACCAUAGCAACCCGGCUGGUAGGAAAGGAUGGAAAUGCCUACUCAUCCUUCCCGAGGCAGGAUAUUUUUCCAAAGUUCUGUAAACAACAAAGCUCUACACGAGUGUGAAUGGGUGUGUUCUUCCACUGUCCUGACGGUGCAUGUCUUGUCUUCUAUGCUCCAGAGCCCAGGGCAGAGGUGUGGAGCCAAGCUGAGCCUCUCUUACCUGCAGUUCCUACAAGGUCAAUGUUAAGAUCAGAUACAAGAGGGAAUGCUGGCUCUAGUUUAAGUGACAUGUCAAAAAGCAUAGAGUCAGAAGUGUGGAGAGCCAGAAUUGGGAGAUAAGAAAGGCAACCUAUGGCUGAUUCAUAUCAAUGUAUGACAAAACCCGCUGAAAUGUUGUGAAGUAAUUAGCCUCCAACUAAUAAAAAAAAUAAAAUAAAAUAAAAAUUUAAAAAAAAGAAACGCAACCUAAAGGAGGGAAAGUGUA